rnacentral:tRNA from 1 species
AUAAAGCAAGGCACUGAAAAUGCCAAGAUGAGUCGCACGACUCCAUAAACA